rnacentral:rRNA from 1 species
GACGAACGCUGGCGGCGUGCCUAAUACAUGCAAGUCGAGCGCGGGAAACUCUUCUGAUCCCUUCGGGGUGAAGAGAGUGGAACGAGCGGCGGACGGGUGAGUAACACGUGGGCAACCUACCUAUAAGACUGGGAUAACUCGCGGAAACGUGAGCUAAUACCGGAUAAUACUUUUUAUUGCAUAAUAAGAAAUUUGAAAGACGGCGUAAGCUGUCACUUAUAGAUGGGCCCGCGGCGCAUUAGCUAGUUGGUGAGGUAAAGGCUCACCAAGGCAACGAUGCGUAGCCGACCUGAGAGGGUGAUCGGCCACACUGGGACUGAGACACGGCCCAGACUCCUACGGGAGGCAGCAGUAGGGAAUCUUCCGCAAUGGACGAAAGUCUGACGGAGCAACGCCGCGUGAGUGAAGAAGGUUUUCGGAUCGUAAAACUCUGUUGUUAGGGAAGAACAAGUCAGGUAGUAACUGACCUGACCUUGACGGUACCUAACCAGAAAGCCACGGCUAACUAC